GGUCGAGCAAGGAUGAAAAUCGGACUUAGUGAUCCGGUGGUUCUGCGUGGAAGGGCCAUCGCUCAACGGAUAAAAGCUACCCUGGGGAUAACAGGCUUAUCUCCCCCAAGAGUCCACAUCGACGGGGGGGUUUGGCACCUCGAUGUCGGCUCAUCACAUCCUGGGGCUGUCGUAGGUCCCAAGGGUUGGGCUGUUCGCCCAUUAAAGUGGUACGCGAGCUGGGUUCAGAACGUCGUGAGACAGUUCGGUCCCUAUCCGUCGCAGGCGUAGGAAAUUUGAGAAGACCUGUCCUUAGUACGAGAGGACCGGGAUGGACGUACCUCUGGUGUACCAGUUGUUCUGACAAGGGCAUGGCUGGGUAGCUAUGUACGGAAUGGAUAAGCGCUGAAAGCAUCUAAGCGCGAAGCCAACUUCAAGAUAAGAUUUCCCACCGCAAGGGUAAGACCCCAGAAAGACUAUCUGGUUGAUAGGUCGAAGGUGUAAGUGCAGCAAUGUAUUUAGCUUAUCGAUACUAAUAGGUCGAGGACUUGACCAAAUU
rnacentral:rRNA from 1 species